UACGAAGGGGGCUAGCGUUGUUCGGAAUCACUGGGCGUAAAGCGUAUGUAGGCGGAUUGCUAAGUCAGGGGUGAAAUCCCGAAGCUCAACCUCGGAACUGCCUUUGGUACUGGCUGUCUUGAGUCCGGGAGAGGUGAGUGGAAUUCCUAGUGUAGAGGUGAAAUUCGUAGAUAUUAGGAAGAACACCAGUGGCGAAGGCGGCUCACUGGCCCGGUACUGACGCUGAAAUACGAAAGCGUGGGGAGCAAACAGG
rnacentral:misc_RNA from 1 species